UACGUAGGGGGCUAGCGUUGUCCGGAAUCAUUGGGCGUAAAGCGCGUGUAGGCGGUCCGGUAAGUCCGCUGUGAAAGUCGGGGGCUCAACCCUCGGAUGCCGGUGGAUACUGUCGGGCUUGAGUACGGAAGAGGCGAGUGGAAUUCCCGGUGUAGAGGUGAAAUUCGUAGAUAUCGGGAGGAACACCGGUGGCGAAGGCGGCGACCUGGGUCGAUACUGACGCUGAGGUGCGAAAGCGUGGGGAGCAAACAGG
rnacentral:rRNA from 1 species